UUCCGAAUUCAUACCUAUAACUUCUUUUAUCAUCUCAACAUCACUAUUUCAUUCACAAAUUCAUACCUAUAACUUCAUAGGUAAUCGAGUUUUCUUAAUUGGUUGAAUUGAGAUUUCGAAUAAUUGAAUUGAACUCCCAUUGAAAUUGAUUUUUUAUUUAUUUAUUUUAGUAUCUAAAAUGGCCUUUAGAGGUGAAUUUGUGUAAUAAUAAUAGCAGUAUUUGAAAAUACCCUCAUUGUUUUUUUUUUUUUGUAAAUUAUAAUUAUGAUAAACACAGUGUAAGUCUGUAAGUGCUUGGUAGAAUUUACUUGGCUCAAAAUAGAAUGUAGUCGAAAAAUUGGAACUUGAAAUGAAAGAAUCAGGGUUUUUGGUGUAAGUUGUUGACAUGUUUAGGGGGAAUGUAUAAGUUUUCAAAUGUCGACUCAUAUCUCAAUGCGUUUAAGAAGGAAAUGUUAUGAAGUAAUGCAUGUUUGUAGUGUCAACAACUGGGGGACAAAAGAGUAUGAAUAAGUAGAGGUUGCCAAGCUGAGGAAGCAGAGAGUUUUUCUGUUGUUUAUAGCAAUGAGCAGAGAAUUAAAGAAAAUUAUAAUAUUGUUGUUAUGAUUUGUAGGUGUUGAUUUCAAGAUCAAAAGACUCACCGUAGGUGGAAAAAGAUUAAAACUUACAAUUUGGGACACAAUACUGGCCUACCAGGUAACAAAGUAUGUAAAGAUAGAGGGGAUUAUUGAACAAGUAAUUUGAGUCCCAGUCACACAUUGAAGUUCAUUGAACAAGUAAUUUAUACACAAGAGGGAAUUAUUGUACAAAUAUAUACAAUAAGAAGUUCUCUUACAAAGGUUUGUCUAAUAUUUGUCUCGAUCAAUUAGAAUUUCGUAGAUAGAGUACCAAAUGUUCAUAUUUUUUUGCUCAAAUUUCACGUAUUUCAUGCUCUUGAAUUUAAUAUAAUCAAUCUAGGUACUCAAUUGCUUUGCUCUUUGCAUAGAUUUUUGCAGGUAGAUUGUAUGUUUGAAAUAUCAAUUGACUAAUGGAGAUAGCAUCACUCAUGUAUCGAGUAGGUCUAUAGACUAUAGGUGUAUCAAUUAGCUUAUUUUAUGUUUAUUAAGUUUCUAGUUUUUUAUUUGAAUGAUUAUUUUUGUGUGUUUUGUGUUUAUCCAUUUCAGUUUUAUCUUCUUCAUGAUUUGAUUGAUUCUUCAUGGUUUUUACGAUAUUUGGUGUACUUGAAGAAAGGGAAGUUCGGCUGGAACCUCAAAUCAUACAUCGUGCCAUAUUAGUCAUGAUGAUUUCCUAUUGUGUUUAUCUUCAUAAACUUCCAGAAGUUUUGUAAAAGUCUUCGGAAUCAAGCAUUGUUGUAAGCACUUUUAAGCAAGACGAAGGCCUCGAGUUAUGAUGUGGACAUUGCAGCAAGGAGGAAGUGGACGGAACUGAAUGGCACUCCCCCCGCUCCUUCAGAUUUGUUUGUUCACACACACCAACAUCGCAAGAAUAAACUUGAGUGUGGCAGAUGAUAAUGAUAUAUGUCUGAUGAUGAUGAUCAAGUUCAUGAAGAUGAUGUGGCAGAUGAUAAACUGAUGAUGAUAUAUCUGAUGAUGGUGUAGUAGUGUGGCUUACUUUUUUGUAGUUUUUUGAGUUAGGAUAUUGACUUUUUGUAUGCAAGAAUUGAAAGGGAUUUAUUCCCCCUUAGUCUUGGUUAUGUUUUGGUUGAUUUGUAAUACUUAUUACUUAAAUAUAAAUAUAUUAUGUUCA